CUGACCCACCGGACCAACCGCCACAACGGCCGCGACGGGGCGGGCGCUGUGCCGCCGGAGGGACCGGAGCUCUUUUCUGCAGAAACCUCAUUCUGCUUGUUUCUGAAGCCAGCGGGGCUCACAAGUGACGCCCCCGUCCAAGGCCCAGAACCCCGACCGUUAACUAGGUCGAAGAGCAGAGACCAGGCCUGCCCUCGCACUGGUGGAGGGAUGCCCAUGGACACCCUUUGGCACAUCUAUGGGGGAGAGGCGGCCCUGAGACAGAUGUGGGCACCAUGCCAGGGAGGAGACGGACUCCUCAGCUUCUUCACCCACUUGUCGGCUCCCUGGAGGUCCUGGGCUUUUUGCUAGAAUAUAGGACAUGCUGGUGGUGUUCUAGCUGCCAGCUCCCUAGGGUGGCCCGAAUGGGCAUGAACUCAAGGGCUCCCAGGACAGGCACAGACCCCUCACAGACCAAGGACACUUCAAUGGCUCUGGGGUGUGGAGCAGCAGGGAACUCCAGCCGCACCCGUGACCUCCUCCCUCCUUCUGCUGUUACAGCACACAUGGGGUUUUACCCUCACCAAUCCCACCAUUCAUCAGACAAGGUCCCAGAGCUGCUCAUCUGGCUGGACAAAGGUGUUCCCACCAGGCCUCUCAAGGUCCUUAGGGCCUGACAGCACACCAGCUAACCCUCUCGGUGGGGACACCUCAGCAGAUCACGAUGAUGGCUCAGCUGCACCCCAGGUUGACCCACCCUUCCUGAAGGGAGCCAGGCAGAAACGCAAUUUCAGGAAUCCAGGGAUGAAGAAGCCUGAGGAGCCCCCAGGCCCCCACAAGUCAGAGCCUGGCCCAGAGGGGAGUGGAGUACCACAGGAGCCCCCAGUGGUGACCCCCACCUGUGGGGCACUCUUGAGCCCUGGCUGGACAUGCUCUUCCCAGGUAGGAUAGCCUGUGAGGCCAGGGCAGAGGCCCUGCUCCUCGAUGCCCAGCUCAGCUGGCGCCCUGAGCAGAGGGGUGGGCAGGCAUCUGGCCCCGGCAUGCCGUCCCCACAGCAGCCACGGCGGGGGAUGGCGGGCCUGGAAUGGAGGGGCAGGGAGUGUGGCCCCCAGGGGAGGUGGGGGUAUGUGCCUGGCCAUCUCCUGGCCUCUGCAACCCCGCUGGGGGCAGAGGAGGUGGUGCUGCUGCCUGGGCCUCAUCGGCCGUGGGCUUGCAGGGCGCCUGGUGGAUGGCAGGCUUGAGGCAGAAGGACCAGCAGGGAAGGAAGGAAGGGUGGUCUGCAUGAGGCUGGGACUGAGGGCCGAGGCUCCAGAACCCAAAGGGCAGCGUGGGGAACCUGUGCCCUUUGCUGAUGGGGAGGUAGCCUGGGCCAGGGUCCCACCAGCCCCCCUGCAAAGAGACCCCAGGUCCUGAGGCUUGCCCAGCUGUCCUUGGCAGGCACCUACUGCGCAUGGCAGUCUUCUCAUCAGUCAUCAGCUGGAACAACCCCAGAAGGUGUCGUCCUCGUUCAGGAACAUCAGUACGGCCACGACCUCAUUCAUGCCCUGGAAGUAGCCCACCUCCUGCAAGAGCCAGACGUGCGUGGAGGACCCACCCGGAGCCCACCUCUGCUCUUGGACGCAUCAGCGCCAUGGCCUGCCAUGGCCACCUGGGGUCCCUCCCUUUAUUAUUCUGCAGAGAGGUCUUUCUGCCAAUGGAAACCCACCCCCAGGAUGGGAAAGAGGGGCGUCCCAGUGACUCACAGCGAGGAACGUAGCCUGUUGGUGACACUGUACACUGAGAGGUCCGCAUCCUCCCCUGGUUCCUCUGGAGACCUUGCAUGGCCCAAAAGCCAGAGGGGCCGAGAGAUGCAGGAAAGGCAGAGCAGGACAACUCCUGCAUCCCAGGGGCACAGCACCAGGCCCGCCUGACUCAGUGGGAUCUGCCUGGGCUAGGAUCCUGCCUGGGCCACCUGGUCCCAUUUGUGGGGACCCCCACCUGAGCCAUACCUGCUUGUCCUGGGGAGGAUGUCCACUCAGGCUCUCUCUGCUCAGCCUUGGCUGUGACCCCUACCUGGAAUGUGAGUUUUCUUGCUGCCCAUGGUUCCCACUGGGCUGUACCUGUGCACACCUGGCAAUGGGCCCCACCUGGGCCUCACCUGCUUCUCCUUGGUGGGAUCAUCCACCAGGGACAUCCCUUCUCCUGCGGGCCAUGUGGGAUGUCAUGGCCCACCUGGGCCUCACCUGCUGCAUGCUGACUGUGCUCCCGGCCUGAGCUGUACCUGUUCCUACUGGUGACCAUCCUUACGUGGCCUUCCCUGGUCUACCCAGGGAUGAUCUCGGCUUGGUCUCCCCUGCUUAUCCUUGGCGCUGAUUCCUCCUGGGACAUACCUGCUUCUGUGGGCUAGGAUGCUCACCUGGGCUGCAGUGAUUCCCACUUGGGGAAUGUACCUUUUCUGAUGGGUGAUGAUACCAGUUCUACCUGGCUAGGAUCCCUGCCGGGUCUCAGCUGCCUGUCCUUGGCUCAGAUCCCUGCCUGAGUGCACCUGCUCUUGUCUAUGAUCCCUGCUGGGGUCUCACCUGCUCAUAUUUUGUUAUACUUUCUUCUCGUUCCAGGGCUAGUAGGGUCUCCAGCUUCUCCAUGUUGGAUGUUGCAAGACAAAAUCCAUGUAUUCCAGUGCCCUAAAGAGCUUCAGGGACCCAGCAAGUGGAAGUUGGCUCCCUGUUGGCAGUUUCCUGGUCACAGGGGGAGAAAUCAGACAUUAGUGCCUCCUUAGUGGGUGGGAUCCCCCUUGGCGAUCAUGGCUUGGAUCCACACCUAAUACUUCCACUUCUAGACUUCAGGACAGGGGUAGACCUUUCUCCAAAGUCCACCCAGCUUUAGAAAACAAGGCCAACAGUCUCAGGGGGAGUUGCCAAACCUCAUCAGCCAUCAGGGAGAUAUAAAUCAAGACCACAGGGCACACCACUUCUCAUCCCUGGAAACUUUAUUCCCAAUAACAGGAUGUGGAGAGACUGGAACACUCCUGUACUGCAUGCAGGAAAUGGUGACCCCAGCUACACUGUGGAUGGGUGAAAUCAGGCACAAGAGACCAUAUAUUGUAUGAUUCCAUUGAUUUGAAGUGUCUAGCAUCGCCAGGCCCAUACAGACAGAAACUGGAUCGGGGGUCCCCAGGGCUGGGGAAUGGGCAAGGGGUGGGUAUCUGCUGAUGGAUAAGAGACUUUCAUGAGGUGGUGACAGGAGGAUAUAGUGGGGAUGGUAGCAGGAGUCUGUAAAAUAAAGACCUCUGAAUGGUC